AGAUAGCUACUCUUCUUGGUGCGGUUUUCAGAUUUUUAGAUGUGAUAUUCAUGUCGUGUGACCCAAUAAGAGAUAUGACAAACUACUUCAGAAGAAGGUUACAGGAGUGCUUCAUAUGACAUAUCCAGGUGCUGAUAAUAGCUACUCUUACUGCUGAAGUUUCCAAACUUGUGCCAUAUUCAUACAGUGUGACCCAAUAUGAGAUAUGGCGAGCUACUUAGCAAGCAAGCUACAGGAGUGCUUGGUAUGACACACCCACACACCGAUGAUGUCCCUCUGUGUCUUCUCAGUGCUUAGGAUGAUUUCUGCGUGCUAAAUGAUGGAAAGGCUGCCUGUGGUGCAACAAAUUGCACAUCGAUUGUUUGUAAGUUGUAACUGCUGUAGACAGGAAAAAAGACAGUUCAGGCGCCAAAUCCUUGUCCACUGAAUGAAGAUGCUAUCACGGUGACUAAGUAUAACUUGGAAACUGUUGAGUCUGAGAAGGCUUCUCAUUUGCGACUAUUAUUUCGUCAGCUAAUUGUUGUGACCAUGUAAAUUUGUCACUUCCCUCUGUGAAAUGCUCUGCUACUCUCUUUAAUACCCAACAUGCAAAUUUAUUCGA